rnacentral:lncRNA from 14 species
CUGCUUGCAGGAGCCUCCAAGUGUUUGAAGAGACGGGGAUCCCCCAUAGUGAAAUCUUGCAGCAGCAGCAGGAGGAGGAAGGUGGGGGGCCCUUAGGUGGGCCCCUGAAAUACCCACAUUCCUGCAUCUUGUGGCUCCAUGCAGACCAGGCAGUGCUGGACCAGCGGCUGGAGAAGCGGGUGGAUGACAUGCUGGCUGCGGGGCUGCUGCAGGAGCUGCGCGACUUCCAUCACCGCUACAACCAACACAAGGCAGGAUUACCAGCACGGCAUCUUCCAGUCCAUUGGCUUCAAGGAGUUCC